rnacentral:rRNA from 1 species
UCUAAGUAUAAGCGACUCAGCUCGUGAAACCGCGAACGGCUCAUUAUAACAGCUAUAAUUUACUUGAUCUUGACCAUCCUACUUGGAUAACUGUGGUAAUUCUAGAGCUAAUACAUGCGCAAGAGCUCGUCGCAAGACGAGUGCAUUUAUUAGAGGAAAACCAAGCGGCCUCGGCCGUGCUUUGUUGACUCAGAAUAACUAAGCUGAUCGCAGGGUCUUGUACCGGCGACGUGUCUUUCAAGUAUCUGCCUUAUCAACUUUCGAUGGUAGUGUAUCUGACUACCAUGGUGGUGACGGGUAACGGAGGAUCAGGGUUCGACUCCGGAGAAGGGGCCUGAGAAAUGGCCACUACGUCUAAGGAUGGCAGCAGGCGCGCAAAUUACCCACUCUCGGCUUGAGGAGGUAGUGACGAGAAAUAACGAGACCGUUCUCUACGAGGCCGGUCAUCGGAAUGGGUACAAUGUAAACCCUUUAACGAGUAUCUAUGAGAGGGCAAGUCUGGUGCCAGCAGCCGCGGUAAUUCCAGCUCUCAAAAUGCAUAGAAUUAUUGCUGCGGUUAAAAAGCUCGUAGUUGGAUCUGUGCCCCGCGGGCGGUUCUCCCCCACCGGGGAGCUACUGCUCCGCGGGGCUUUUGGCUGGUCUCAUUCGACUUCCCUUGGGGGGUGGGGUUGGGCUAGCGAGUUUACUUUGAACAAAUCAGAGUGCUCCACACAGGCGUCUCGCCUGAAUGUUCGUGCAUGGAAUAAUAGAAGAGGAUUUCGGUUCUAUUUUAUUGGUUUUAUAGACUGAGGUAAUGGAUAAUAGAGACAAACGAGGGCAUUCGUACCGCUGCGUGAGAGGUGAAAUUCUUGGACCGCAGCGAGACGCACGACAG